rnacentral:rRNA from 1 species
CGUGCAGGCGGGGUUGGUAAGUCAGAUGUGAAAGCCCUGGGCUUAACCCAGGAAGUGCAUUUGAAACUGCCAUCCUUGAGUAUGGGAGAGGAGAGUGGAAUUCCCAAUGUAGAGGUGAAAUUCGUAGAUAUUGGGAGGAACACCCGUGGCGAAGGCGACUCUCUGGACCAAUACUGACGCUGAGACGCGAAAGCGUGGGGAGCAAACA